UACGAAGGGGGCUAGCGUUGCUCGGAAUCACUGGGCGUAAAGCGCACGUAGGCGGAUCUUUAAGUCAGGGGUGAAAUCCCGGAGCUCAACUCCGGAACUGCCUUUGAUACUGAGGGUCUUGAGUCCGGGAGAGGUGAGUGGAACUGCGAGUGUAGAGGUGAAAUUCGUAGAUAUUCGCAAGAACACCAGUGGCGAAGGCGGCUCACUGGCCUGGUACUGACGCUGAGGUGCGAAAGCGUGGGGAGCAAACAGG
rnacentral:rRNA from 1 species